rnacentral:rRNA from 1 species
CAGCACCUCAAGUGGUCAGGAGGAUUAUUGGGCCUAAAGCAUCCGUAGCCUGCUCUGUAAGUUUUCGGGUUCAAUCCAUCAGCUCAACUGAUGGGCCGCCGAAAAAACUGCAAAGCUAGGGAGUGGGAGAGGUAGACGGUACUCGAUAGGAAGGGGUAAAAUCCUUUGAUCUAUUGAUGACCCCCUGUGGCGAAGGCGGUCUACCAGAACACGUUCGACGGUGAGGGAUGAAAGCUGGGGGAGCAAACCGGAUUAGAUACCCGGGUAGUCCCAGCUGUAAACGAUGCAGACUCGGUGAUGCCCUGGCUUGUGGCCAGUGCAGUGCCGCAGGGAAGCCGUUAAGUUUGCCGCCUGGGAAGUACGUACGCAAGUAUG